AUGUUCAACAUUGAACGCGCUCUUCUCGCGAAGUUAGCUUGGUGAUGCGUUGCACUACUUUUUCUUCACACGCUCUGUUUUCUCUCUCUCUCUCUCUCUCUCUCUCUCUCCCUGAUCGAGAAUAAACCCUAGAUAGAAUGAGAAGAAGGUCCAUACCGGAGCUGGAUUGCCGGUACUGAAGAAUUGGGAGCCGCUGCAGAGAGAUUUGUUGCUGCUGUCUGAAGAAGUCAUGACGGGCAGAGGGCCAUCGGGAAGGACGCCGACGUGGAAGGAAAGGGAGAAUAAUAAGAGGAGGGAGAGGCGUCGGAGGGCCAUUGCUGCUAAGAUCUACACUGGUCUUAGAGCUCAGGGGAACUAUAAGCUUCCUAAACACUGUGACAACAACGAGGUCCUGAAGGCACUCUGUAAUGAGGCUGGUUGGGUGGUUGAAGAAGAUGGCACCACUUAUCGCAAGGGAAGCAAGCCACCUCCGAUUGAUAUUGGCACUUCUGCAAACAUGAGUGCCUGUUCCUCUCUUCAACCAAGCCCACAAUCUUCCUGCUUCCCGAGUCCUGUACCAUCCUACCAUGCCAGUCCUUCCUCGUCCUCUUUUCCAAGCCCAACUCGAUUUGAUGGGAAUCCAUCUUCUUAUCUUCUGCCAUUUCUUCAAAAUAUAUCCUCUAUACCUGCUAAUCUCCCUCCUCUCAGAAUAUCAAACAGUGCACCUGUCACACCACCUCUCUCUUCCCCGACGUCAAGGGGUUCUAAGCGAAAACCAGACUGGGAGUCCAUUCCAAAUAGCUAUGUAACCUCUUUCCGCCAUCCAUUCUUUGCUGUAUCCGCUCCUUCAAGUCCAACAAGAUGCCACCAUCUUACACCGGCUACAAUCCCCGAAUGUGACGAGUCGGACGCUUCAACUGUGGACUCUGGUCGCUGGGUCAGCUUCCAGACUGUGGCACCUUCCGUGGCUCCUCCUUCCCCUACGUUUAAUCUGAUGAAACCAGUUAGUCAGCAAAACUCUCUCCAUGAUGCAGUUGACAGACAUGGAGCAAUGGGCUGGGGUGCUACCUCUGAUAGGGGACGAGGCUCCGAGUUUGAAUUUGAGAAAUUUGAGAGUGGCGCAGUGAAGGCGUGGGAGGGUGAGAGAAUUCAUGAAGUUGGGGUGGACGACUUGGAGCUUACUCUUGGGGGUGGGAAGGCCCGUUGUUAAGCAUCCACACGAAGAUAUUUAUUUCAAGAACUUAAGUGCCUGCUCUUUAAAGAUUAUUGGUUUAUGUUCACAAAAUAUGUUUACUUUCAUUGCUUGGACUUGCACUUCUGCUACCAUUAGAAAGAUCCUGGUUCGCCUUCUUGCAAAACUCUGAACUCGUUACUACAGCUUGUAGUGGAAGAGCAAUCAAAAUUUGAGUCAAGGCCCAGGAAAGGACAUCAUUCGCUACUGGAAAAUGAGAAGAACAAUGCCAUUGUCAUGAACGUGAUAGAAACGAACAACCAACUGUGGGGGAAAAAUUGCUAUGAACAUUGCCCAUUUUCUUCCUGUGGUAGCCUGGUGGGGUGGUGUCCUUCCCUGUUGUGCUCUGUGGGUCAGAUGAGCAAAGAAUCCAAAGGCAGGAGGGGCCGUGGGGCCUCAUAAAUAGGCCACGAGAUGAGUACUCUGUGUUCUUGGCUGGCCAGUGCCAGUGGAUCUUUGCGUGCUGCUCUUUUUUCGCAGAUUGUUUACGUACCGACCAAUUAAUUCAGCAACUGCCUCUCAGAAUGAUCAAUAAUCUGCUUUAUCUAUUUCAACACAGCCGUUUAUAAAGCCCAUCUCCCCAAUAUUGACAUUCUUUUCAGAAGAAAUUCAACAGGGCUACAAAAUUUUGGGCU